rnacentral:rRNA from 1 species
UACGGGAGUGGCAAGCGUUAUCCGGAAUUAUUGGGCGUAAAGCGUCCGCAGGCGGUCUGUCAAGUCUGCUGUUAAAGCGUGGAGCUUAACUCCAUUUCGGCAGUGGAAACUGACAGACUAGAGUGUGGUAGGGGCAGAGGGAAUUCCCGGUGUAGCGGUGAAAUGCGUAGAUAUCGGGGAGAACACCAGUGGCGAAGGCGCUCUGCUGGGCCAUAACUGACGCUCAUGGACGAAAGCCAGGGGAGCGAAAGGGAUUAGAUACCCCUGUAGUCCUGGCCGUAAACGAUGAACACUAGGUGUCGGGGGAAUCGACCCCCUCGGUGUCGUAGCCAACGCGUUAAGUGUUCCGCCUGGGGAGUACGCACGCAAGUGUGAAACUCAAAGGAAUUGACGGGGGCCCGCACAAGCGGUGGAGUAUGUGGUUUAAUUCGAUGCAACGCGAAGAACCUUACCAGGGUUUGACAUCCUGCGAAUCUCUUGGAAACGAGAGAGUGCCUUCGGGAACGCAGUGACAGGUGGUGCAUGGCUGUCGUCAGCUCGUGUCGUGAGAUGUUGGGUUAAGUCCCGCAACGAGCGCAACCCACGUCGUUAGUUGCCAGCAUUUAGUUGGGCACUCUAGCGAGACCGCCGGUGAUAAACCGGAGGAAGGUGUGGAUGACGUCAAGUCAUCAUGCCCCUUACAUCCUGGGCUACACACGUACUACAAUGCUACGGACAAAGGGCAGCAAACUCGCGAGAGCUAGCAAAUCCCAUAAACCGUGGCUCAGUUCAGAUCGUAGGCUGCAACUCGCCUACGUGAAGGAGGAAUCGCUAGUAAUCGCAGGUCAGCAUACUGCGGUGAAUACGUUCCCGGGCCU